rnacentral:rRNA from 1 species
UACCUAACCAGAACGCCCCGGCUAACUACGUGCCACCCCCCGCGGUAAUACGUAGGUGGCAAGCGUUAUCCGGAAUUAUUGGGCGUAAAGCGCGCGCAGGUGGUUUCUUAAGUCUGAUGUGAAAGCCCACGGCUCAACCGUGGAGGGUCAUUGGAAACUGGGAGACUUGAGUGCAGAAGAGGAAAGUGGAAUUCCAUGUGUAGCGGUGAAAUGCGUAGAGAUAUGGAGGAACACCAGUGGCGAAGGCAACUUUCUGGUCUGUAACUGACACUGAGGCGCGAAAGCGUGGGGAGCAAACAGGAUUAGAUACCCUGGUAGUCCACGCCGUAAACGAUGAGUGCUAAGUGUUAGAGGGUUUCCGCCCUUUAGUGCUGAAGUUAACGCAUUAAGCACUCCGCCUGGGGAGUACGGGCGCAAGGCUGAAACUC